GUGCUCACUUUGGCAACAGAUAUACUGCAGUUGGGAUGAUACACAGAAGGCCUCUGUGCAAGGAUAACACAGAAAUUUGUGAAGCGUUUCUUCUUUUU
rnacentral:snRNA from 1 species